GACGAACGCUGGCGGCGUGCUUAACACAUGCAAGUCGAACGGAAAGGCCCUGCUUUUGUGGGGUGCUCGAGUGGCGAACGGGUGAGUAACACGUGAGUAACCUGCCCUUGACUUUGGGAUAACUUCAGGAAACUGGGGCUAAUACCGGAUAGGAGCUCCUGCUGCAUGGUGGGGGUUGGAAAGUUUCGGCGGUUGGGGAUGGACUCGCGGCUUAUCAGCUUGUUGGUGGGGUAGUGGCUUACCAAGGCUUUGACGGGUAGCCGGCCUGAGAGGGUGACCGGCCACAUUGGGCCUGAGAUACGGCCCAGACUCCUACGGGAGGCAGCGGUGGGGAAUAUUGCACAAUGGGCGGAAGCCUGAUGCAGCAACGCCGCGUGGGGGAUGACGGCCUUCGGGUUGUAAACCGCUUUCGCCUGUGACGAAGCGUGAGUGACGGUAAUGGGUAAAGAAGCACCGGCUAACUACGUG
rnacentral:rRNA from 1 species